CCAGGGCAGAGCCCCCAGCCCGGCCCGGCCCCUGCCCCGGGGGCCCCGCUCGGAGGGAAGGCUGGAGAAUCACAUCCAGGUUUUGGUCCAGAUCGGCCCGUAUUCCCACGGGAGAGGGAAGGGAAAUGGCUGUGUCGAAGCCAGAUCAGAUGCCGGUGACCUUCGAGGAGGUGGCUGUGUAUUUCACCCAGGG